rnacentral:lncRNA from 1 species
CUGGGGCCAUUCUGGGGCCGUUUGUUGCCAUUUUAGGGCCGUUUAUUGCCAUUUUGGGGUCAUUUGGGGCCAUUUUAAGGCCAUUUGUUGCCAUUUGAGGCCGCUUAUUGCCAUUUGGUGCCCCCCGGGGCCAUUUUGGGGCCGUUUGUUGCCAUUUGGGGUCCCCUGGGGCCAUUUUGGGGCCGUUUUUUGUCACUUUAGGGCCGUUUGGUGCCGUUUGGGGCCAUUUUGGGGCCGUUUGUUGCCAUUUUGGGGCCGUUUGUUGCCAUUUGUUGCCGUUUUGGGCCAUUUGGGGCCAUUUUGGGGCGGUUUGUUGCCAUUUUUCGGGGUGACUCACGUUUGGGGGGGUGGCGCUGUGCGUGACGCUGGGGGCGCAGGCGCGGUUGGAGCCCGCGGGCGGCUCGGACCCGGAGACGCGGCGCUUCUUGCUCAGCGGGGGGCUGGACAUCUGGGGGGCGGGGCCAGAUGUUGGCCACGCCCCCUUUGACCACACCCCCUUUGGCCACACCCCUCGGGCCACACCCAUUGGCCGCCCCCCUUUUGGCCCCGCCCCCUCCCCCAGCCACCCCCCUCCCUCACCCCACUUGGCCCCGCCCCCUUCAUUAGGCCCCGCCCCCUUCUUUAAGACACGCCCCUGAUCCCAGGCCACGCCCCUGCCCUUAGGCCACGCCCCCUCCAUUAGGCCCCGCCCCCUGGGCAUAGAACACAUUCACUUAGGCCACGCCCCCAGGACACCCCACCCCUUUAAGCCACGCCCCCUCAGUGUUAGACCACGCCCCUUUGAUUAGGCCACGCCCCCUUUUAAAGAGCCCCGCCCCCUUUUGGACACUCCCCUGGAGCACACCAAAGGGGGCGUGGCCUCCCGCCAGGGGGCGUGGCCUCCCUCCAGGGGGCGGGGCCUCUCCACCAGGGGGCGGGGCCUCCCGCCAGGGGGCGGGGCCUCCCGGGUCCCAAUGGGGGUAAUUAACGGGGCAGCCAAUUAACGGGGCUGGAAGCGGGGGCGCUGGGGGGGGGGGGCUAAUUAGCGAGGGAUGUUAAUGGGGGCCUUAAUGGGGUCCCACUAAUGGGAGUUCAUUAACGGGGGUUCAUUAACGGGGGCUCAUUAACGAGGUCCCACUAAUUAUUAUAAUUAUUAUAAUUAUUAUAAUUAUUAUAAUUAACUGAUUAUUGGGGUCCCAUUAACAAGGCUCCCAUUAACAGGGACCAAUUAAUAGGGUCCCACUAAUGGGGGGCUCAUUAAUGGGAUCCCACUAACGGGCGUCUCGUUAACAGGGUCCCAUUAACGAGGGUCUCAUUAAUGGGAUCCCAUUAACAAGGUCUCCUUAACGAGGUCCUACUAAUGGGGGUCUCGUUAAUGGGGUCCCAUUAAUGAGGGGUCCCAGUCCCCAUUCCCAGGGGUCCCCAUUAAUAGGGUCCCUAAUUAAUAGGGUCCCUAAUUACUGACAGAUCCCAGACCCUAUUACCAGGGAGUCCCCAAUUAGUAGGGU